ensembl:lncRNA
GUGGUUAUAGCCAGAUGCAACGGAGGUGUUCUGGAUGAGUUGGAGAGGUUACAGUUCUUCACAGAAAUGAAAAAAAGUAUAUUUUUCCCAACGAUCCAUGACGCCAUUUUACACUGUCAGGAUCUCAACUCAAGUCCAAGUACAGGUCCAGAAACCUGUGUCUAAUAUUCACACUGUCAACACUGGAGAUUUCCGCACUGUGUAACUUUUGUCACCGGCUUGUCUCCAUGGAGAUGCUUUACCUGGAAUGAUCCAACUUACCAAUUUCUAUAAAGGCCAACUUACAGGUUACAGUUGUGUGGAGAGGCGACCCCACUCCCAAUAAGAAUAGCUGUUUUUUUUUUGGACAAUAAAAAAAACUGCAUUUGAGUAAAGAAAAGUUAGCUUAAUGCUAUACUGUGGAACAUUCAAGGCAAGGCAAUGACAUCUCCAUGGAGACAGGCUGAUGUUACACCCUUCAAAAAGUUACACAAUGCGGCUUUAAACGGGCAUCUUAAUGUUGAUGUUAUCUCUUAGAGAGACGUGGAGUUCUUUGCAGUUUCUGACACUCCAAACUCACACUGAAGUUAUAUUUUGUACAAUCCAAACGGGACAUUCCUGAAGCCUUAAACUUGUUACUGCUGUGUAUGUCUUUCUUAUUGUAUUCCAUUCUGAAUAUGGCAGGUAGCUAGUGAGAAAAAUAUAAAACACUGCUCUUGUGUUGAGUGCAGGUGUAUUCUAUUGCUGGGUUUCAGAUGGCAUCACAACAUUAUUCAAGUAAGCGUACUACUACACUGUACAAUAUAUUUUUCAUGUACGAGUACUGUUACACUGUACGGUAAAUUUUUCAAGUGAGAGUACUGUUACGCUGUACAGUGCAUUACUGAAAUAGGAAUAAAAGUAUGGGGUCCUAAAAAUGAAAAAGUUACUUGAGUAAAUGUAGCUAUAGAAGAAUAAAGUUUGAGUGUUUUUCUUCCAUAGAAUACUAUGAGAAAGACCAGCCAGGCUGUGCAUCCAAAUGUGUAAUUUUUUAGAACUGCACUUUAUUAUUAUUAGAGAAAGAGCAACUAUUUGUAUUUAACUAGAACUGUUGCUAAAUAUAACACGUGUGUUUUUUGUGAACUUUGGCUGUAUUUGAAAGUGGAUUUUUUUUUAUUCAGUGAAAACAAAACGGGACCAAAGCUACUAGAUUUCACAUGCUUUAAUGUUUUUUAAUAAAAAAACCCCAAAAAAACACACACACAAAAAAGCUUUUUAAUUUAGUGCUAUAGCUGACAUACCUGUUUCAUUCACUACUGUCGGACCAGGACUAAACCAGUUCUAUACCAAGACUCUGCCAGUACUAGGACUAAACUAGGACUAAAUGAGGAUUAGAACUAAACCAGGUGCAGGACUAAACCAGGUAUAAACCAGAACAAGGACUAAACCAGGUCUAUAAUUGAAUCUUUUGAAUUAAAGUAGAUUCCUAACAGAACUAAACCAAAAUUAUACCUGAUUUGAAACACAACUAAGGUUGCAUUAACUUGACCUGCUUUGGUCCUGAUUUGAGCCCAGUUUAGUCCAGAUAUAGACUUGAUUUGGCCCUGUUCUAGUUCUAGUUUUGCUAUUGGACUACACUAAACAAGGUUUAAGGUCUACUCUAAUUAAACCAGGAUCAUCCCAGGUCUAAUACACAACUGAACCAAGAUUAACCCAGACUCAACCUGGAGGAAACCCAAUCUAAACCAGGUCCAAACCAAGUCUAAACCAGGUUCAAAGAAGACUUGAACCAUGUCAAAGAAUUGGAGUUCUUUCCUAAUACACUGUUUUACAUUUAAAAUCCCUUCUUCAACUCGUACUCAUAUUCAUUACUUUUGGUUAAACUAUGCAGCCUCAGAGGGUCAAGAAUCAUUAACUUUUAAAUACAGCCCUAAGCUUACUUUUUAUUUUG